rnacentral:rRNA from 1 species
UGGGGAAUAUUGGACAAUGGGCGCAAGCCUGAUCCAGCCAUGCCGCGUGAGUGACGAAGGCCUUAGGGUUGUAAAGCUCUUUCGGCGGGGAAGAUAAUGACGGUACCCGCAGAAGAAGCCCCGGCUAACUCUGUGCCAGCAGCCGCGGUAAUACAGAGGGGGCAAGCGUUGUUCGGAAUCACUGGGCGUAAAGCGCACGUAGGUGGAUAGUUAAGUUCGGGGUGAAAUCCCAGGGCUCAACCCUGGAACUGCCUCGGAUACUGGCUAUCUCGAGUCCGGAAGAGGUGAGUGGAAUUCCUAGUGUAGAGGUGAAAUUCGUAGAUAUUAGGAAGAACACCGGUGGCGAAGGCGGCUCACUGGUCCGGUACUGACACUGAGGUGCGAAAGCGUGGGGAGCAAACAGGAUUAGAUACCCUAGUAGUCCCUGAGCGGGCUGGCAAGGCGCAU